rnacentral:lncRNA from 1 species
UGAAUGCUGCCAUGUCCACAAGUUUAGGAAUCCAGUUCUUUCUCCCUUUUAUUUUAUUUUUGGGGGGGCCGGGGGGGGAAGAAGAAGCUCUUUUCGGUGCUCAGCUCAGUGUGGGGGAAAUCUCUUCGGUUGUUUGGGGCUUUGUUUUUUUAAGCACUUAUUUAAGCCCGGGGCUUCCAGCUAGCCUUGCCCUGCCUGGUUUAUAACUGCCCUGCCCACAGACGGCUCACGGGGGGCACGUCCACCAGACCAGCCCUCGGGGGCCCUGAGUGGUCCCAGGGCCUGCCUGUGCCCUGAUCCUGUCCUGGUUUCCCACCUGCAGAGCUGUGGCCCCAGGCAUCCUGACUGGCCAGGGCUGAACGGUGGACCGUCGGGCAGGGAGUCAGUCCCCAGGCCACGCUGCCGCUGCUGUCCAGGAACUGGGGUCCAUGGCUGCCCGCGUUUCUCUGUUGGUCCCUGAAGCUUUUCAUUUAAGACGUGGUCUUUGCAGAAGUGCAGCUCCAAGCUCACCUCGCUCCUCUGGCAGGCUGACAAAGCUCCCGCAGACACAGCCUGGGUUCCCCACGUUCGAGGGUAGCCAGGGUCUUGAUUUACAGAACAUGGGAGAUCAGGCCCAGGAAGUGCUGGGGUGCAACUCAGAGGAAAAUUCCCACGUAAAUAGGUUUUUUGGUUAUUUUCUGGCAUCAGAGGCGUUCGGGUCCUGUGUGUGCCGGCCUGAGCCGCCGGCUGGCCGGAGCAGACACCAGCAAAUGUUGAAAGUGAGCUCAGCGCACGAGGAAUAUCUGCGGCCGCUUUUGUUCUUAGAUUAGACAGCAGUCGGUACUGGAGGACUUGGGGCUGCAGAGACAGGCAUCUCUGUAGCAGAGAUAAUUAAAACAUUUUCAUGACUAUGACAGCCACAUUCUGCUGCUGCAAGCUGGAAGAUCACUCCACCCAAAUAUUUAGCAAGCACCAAAUAAAACACUGGUGGCAAAAUAAAAGUAAUAGCAAGAAACAGAGUGUCAUAAAUUCUAAAGGCAGAGGAGUCGAGAGACUAGAGAAGCUGGUAGAGGGGGCGGGGAGGGGGGUAAUCAUUUGGAAAGAAUUUAGACUUCUCAGAGCUGCCCACUCCUCCUUUUUUUUUUAAUUUUAUUUUUUGUUAUAAUUAAUGUUGGUGAAUCGGCCUUUAAUUCUAAAUCCUGGAGCGAUAGUCCCAUUUCCUGAGAGUUAACUCGCCGUCUUUUUGGACAGGGUAGGGGCAGGUAGCAUAAAAUCAAUUAAUCUCCAUAAAUGAGCAUUUUCCCUCUAAAUUAGUAUCUUCCUCUGAGGUUCUGUUCCUCUAAUCGUCUUACUGUAUCUGGAUAAUACAUUUUCCAGCAUACAUCUUAUGCAGUUGGGAUAGUUAGAUGAGACCAAAUAUCAUCUUAGUUUUUUAACUCGGGUCGUAACACUUUAUCUUUCCCAAACAGUAAAAUUCCAUGGAGGUUUUUGUUUGUUUGUUUGGUUUUGUUUUUUUAAUCAGGCAAAAAUAUCAGCAUUCUCCAUGGUACCCAGUACGUAGCGAUAUUUUUUUCGAAGAAAGUACCACGCAUCUCAGUUUUCACAUGAUCUCGCUUCUAUAUAAAUUCCACUAUAGACUGAAAUUAUACAUUCUCGCAGCACAGAUGGGCUGGUCUGUCAUUACGACUGCUGGGUCCUUGUUGGAACACACAGCAUAUUUCAGUGUGGCGUCGACAAUUUCGAAGAACUGAGGUCAAAAUAAACAAGUUGCAUUUGUGUAUAAAAACAGCCUUAUUAAAUGAUCUUCUGAUCCCCCGGGGGGGGGUGGGGAAAUGGGUAGAGGAACAACCAUCACCUUCAUUAAACUUUAAUUUCACAUUUGAUCUUUCAGCUGCACCUUUUGAAGACUCCAAACGCCUUCUGUCAGAGGAGCUUACCUGUUGUAAUCAAUUACCAAUUUUUAGUCUUGUUUGCCUCAUGAACGGCGUGACCCUAGGUGUAUAUUCAAAAUGAUGGGGUUUGGCACUUUUUGAUUUUAAUAUCAUCAUAAUCUCUAUAGGAAAGACAUUCAGUCCUUAACUGUCCUAUGUAGACGUCCAUAAAAUUAUUUUGAGAAGCUUCCCCAAAAAUCAGAUGAUCACUAUUUUGCCUGGUCGAAAGGUACAUUGAAGUCCCAGCUGAAAUAAAUAAGUAAAUAAAUAAACUCAACAGGUAAACGACACAGAGUAGCUAUAAACUUAAAAAAAAAAAAA